ACUGGUGUCAGCCGCCGCGGUAAUACCAGCCCCCUGAGUGAUAGGGACGAUUAUUUAGCNUAAAGCGUCCGUAGCCGGCUUAGAAAGUCUUUCGUUAAAUCUAACGGCUUAACCGUUAGGCCGCGGAAGAUACUGCUAGGCUAGAGGGCGGGAGAGGUUGACGGUAUUUCCGGGGUAGGGGUGAAAUCCUAUAAUCCCGGGAGGACCACCAGUGGCGAAGGCGGUCAACUAGAACGCGCCUGACGGUGAGGGACGAAAGCUGGGGGAGCGAACCGGAUUAGACACCCGGGUAGUCCCAGCCGUAAACGAUGCGGGCUAGGUGUUGGGGCAGCUACGAGCUGCUCCAGUGCCGCAGAGAAGUUGUUAAGCCCGCCGCUUGGGAAGUACGGCCGCAAGGCUGAAACUUAAAGGAAUUGGCGGGGGAGCACCACAAGGGGUGAAGCCUGCGGUUUAAUUGGAGU
rnacentral:rRNA from 1 species